GAUGAACGCUAGCUACAGGCUUAACACAUGCAAGUCGAGGGGCAGCACAGUGUAGCAAUACACGGGUGGCGACCGGCGCACGGGUGCGUAACGCGUAUCCAACCUUCCCGUUACUCUUGGAUAGCCUUCCGAAAGGGAGAUUAAUACAAGAUGGUAUUCAAAUUCCGCAUGUUAUUUGAAUUAAAGAUUUAUCGGUAACGGAUGGGGAUGCGUGACAUUAGAUAGUAGGCGGGGUAACGGCCCACCUAGUCUACGAUGUCUAGGGGUUCUGAGAGGGAAGUCCCCCACACCGGAAAUGAGAGACGGUCCAGACUCCUAAGGGGGGCAGCAGUGAGGAAAAUUGGUCAAUGGUCGGAAAACUGAACCAGCCAAGUAGCGUGAAGGAUUAAGGUUCUAUGGAUUUUAAACUUCUUUUAUACGGGAAUAAAACCCCCCCCGUGUGGGAGCUUGUUUGUACCGUAUGAAUAAGCAUCGGCUAACUCCGUGCCAGCAGCCGCGGUAAAAC
rnacentral:rRNA from 1 species